CAUCUUUCAACCAGCAGAUGGCACACCUGUCUCCAACAUUGUGAGUUGACUUCUCACAUGCACUCCGACUACAUAUUUACACACGAGAUCGCCUCAAACCUUAAACAAUGUCACUCACCAGCUCACUGCAUAAUUAAACUAACAGCUUAAUUCAACAAACCGUGAAA